GGGCCUGCGGAGGAGGUGGGCAUCUCGGCGCCACCCGGUGCGCGCCCCGAGCGAGGGCAUCUCCCCUCGAGACCAGCCCGCGGAGCUGCGCGAGGCGUGGGGUAAGGCGGCGUAGACCUCCCAGUGCCGGCUGCAGGGCCGCGGGUCGGGGCGGGGCCCCGCGAGGAGCAAGGGGCUGGCCGGGCUGGAGGGCUGGGUGAGUCCCCGCCCUGGCAAUCCCAGAAGAGGGCAGGGAGCGCCCCCAACUGACCGCCGGGGGCAUCGUGACGCUGAGGUGGAUGGGAGACUGCACGAUUUGAGCAGGUUGUGUGAAAUCUGGAACUCCAUUACUUGUACCCCAAGGCAUCUUUUUUAUGCGGAUUUAAGCUGGAAAGCGCCACACCAAGCUGUUAACAGGAACUGCUUCCUGGCACUGAGAUUCCAGGGGCUGCUCGUUCCUUUCUCUGGCUCAUCUGUGUAAGGAAGACUUUCCUCCGUGAGCCUUUCCACCAAGCUCAGGCCUGAGGCUUAGGAGAAAUGUGCGAGAUCCCGACAGCCUCGGAGGGAGUGAGGGGGCUUCGAGACCCUCAGGGCCACCUUAGGGGCCUCUACCAGGGAAGGAGAAAUGAUCUUGUUUCACCGGCCAGGGAGCCCUUCAGAAAUGCAAAUGUAACCGUUCACCUCCCCCUAGACAUUCCCUUCAGGGUAAUUCCCUUCAGGGCAAUUUCUUCAACGGCUCCAAGACAGAUCUUUUCCUUGAGAGCUGACAGUCGAUUUGCUGACAGUUGAUUUCCAGACUGAAGCGUACCUGCCACGGAACUUUUACCUCCAUGGGGUGACCUUAGAACUUCUGCUCUGCAAACUGGAAGUGACCUUCAUCCUCCAGGAGGGUAUGUCGAAAGCAUUCCCGCUUGGCCACUUUUACAAGUUAUUUCUGCCUGGGAAGGCACCAACUCAAUUAUCCAGUAGAUAAGAUACGGGGCAACAGGGGAACGCCUGCCUUGCAUACUUGCUCACCCCCGACCUUAUAAAAGUGUCCAUGUUACUGCUCCAAAGGUGAAGCAGCACAUGUAAAGGCAGGACGCGUUGUGUCCCUUCCCCAAGCUACCUUUGGAAUACAUUCACUUUUCUUACACCAGA